AUUGAACGCUGGCGGCAGGCCUAAUACAUGCAAGUCGAACGAGUGGCGGACGGGUGAGUAACACGUGGGAACCUACCCAUCAGAGGGGGAUAACACUUGGAAACAGGUGCUAAUACCGCAUACUGAUGGAUGGACCCGCGGUGCAUUAGCUAGUUGGUGCGGUAACGGCUCACCAAGGCGACGAUCCCUAGCUGGUCUGAGAGGAUGACCAGCCACACUGGACCUGCGACACGGUCCCGACUCCUACGUGAGGCAGCAUUGGGGAAUCUUGCACAAUUGGCGCAAGCCUGAUGCAGCCAUGCCGCGUGUAUGAAGAAGGCCUUCGGGUUGUAAAGUACUUUCAGCGGGGAGGCGUUACCCGCAGAAGAAGCACCGGCUAACUCCGUGCCAGCAGCCGCGGUAAUUC
rnacentral:rRNA from 1 species